AUUGAACGCUGGCGGCAUGCCUUACACAUGCAAGUCGAACGGUAACGGGCCUUCGGGUGCCGACGAGUGGCGAACGGGUGAGUAAUGUAUCGGAACGUACCUUUCAGUGGGGGAUAACGUAGCGAAAGUUACGCUAAUACCGCAUAUUCUGUGCGCAGGAAAGCAGGGGAUCGCAAGACCUUGUGCUGAUUGAGCGGCCGAUAUCAGAUUAGCUAGUUGGUGAGGUACAGGCUCACCAAGGCGACGAUCUGUAGCGGGUCUGAGAGGAUGAUCCGCCACACUGGAACUGAGACACGGUCCAGACUCCUACGGGAGGCAGCAGUGGGGAAUUUUGGACAAUGGGGGCAACCCUGAUCCAGCCAUGCCGCGUGAGUGAAGAAGGCCUUCGGGUUGUAAAGCUCUUUCGGCCGGGAAGAAAUCGUAUCAGCUAAUACCUGGUGCGGAUGACGGUACCGGCAUAAGAAGCACCGGCUAACUACGUGCCAGCCGCCGCAGUAAUAC
rnacentral:rRNA from 1 species